rnacentral:misc_RNA from 1 species
GAUGAAGAACGUAGCGAAAUGCGAUACUUGGUGUGAAUUGCAGAAUCCCGUGAACCAUCGAGUCUUUGAACGCAAGUUGCGCCCGAAGCCAUCAGGUUGAGGGCACGUCUGCCUGGGCGUCACAUAUCGUUGCCCAAUGCCUAUUGCAGUGCAAUAGGAAUUUCUAGGGCGAAUGAUGGCUUCCCGUGAGCGUUGUUGCCUCGCGGUUGGUUGAAAAUCGAGUCCUUGGUAGGGUGUGCCAUGGUAGAUGGUGGUCGAGUUAGAACGAUACCGAUCAUGUGCAUGCUCCCCAAAAUAUGGCCUCUAUGACCCACACGCGUCUUUUGACGCUCAUGACGAGACCUCAGGUCAGGCGGGGCUACCCGCUGAAUUUAAGCAUAUCAAUAAGCGGAGGG